CAGCAGCUCAACUUCCCAACCGUCCAAAGCAUGAAAUCCAUACAUUUGGGGAAGAGGAGAUGGUUGAGAAUGAGGAGCAGGAGGAGGAUAGCCAUGCUGCAGGCCAAUGAGACAGCGCCACCAUAUGACAGAGUAUCUUCAAGACAAGAUGUGAAUGGCUAAGAUUAAAGAGACUACAUUCAUGCUUCGAAAGGAACGAUGCAAGCGGUGGUUCAAACUAGGGUGCAGGACAUGAUUUGGCCACAGCUAUGUAUACUGAUUUAACAGUCACAUUACAUACAAAAGCAGAAGGGUUAACCUCACCAUUUGGUUUGUGGUUCCUGGAUCCGAAAUGACCCUUUAUUUGUGCCUUCAGAAUCGAAAGAAUGUAGAAGAACUCCGCAACAAACAGCAAGAAAGGUGGUUUGACUGAGUUCCAGACGCUCAAGUUCAGAAGGAUAAUAACAUUCAUCAAAAAGGAAAGGUUCAGAAGA